rnacentral:rRNA from 1 species
UACGUAGGGCGCAAGCGUUGUCCGGAAUCAUUGGGCGUAAAGAGCUCGUAGGUGGUCUGUUACGUCUGCUGUGAAAACCUAGGGCUUAACCCUGGGCCUGCAGUGGAUACGGGCAGACUAGAGGUAGGUAGGGGAGAAUGGAAUUCCCGGUGUAGCGGUGAAAUGCGCAGAUAUCGGGAGGAACACCGGUGGCGAAGGCGGUUCUCUGGGCCUUACCUGACACUGAGGAGCGAAAGCGUGGGGAGCGAACAGG